AGGCAGAACUUUUGAAUUGGCUUUCGGCCUAUCUGUUUAGGCCAAUUAGUACCUGACUUUUAAUCAGGGUGUCACAGGUUCGAGACCUGUACGGCCUG
rnacentral:tRNA from 1 species